CAGCCGCCGCGGUAAAACCAGCACCUCAAGUGGUCAGGAUGAUUAUUGGGCCUAAAGCAUCCGUAGCCGGCUCUGUAAGUUUUCGGUUAAAUCUGUACGCUUAACGUACAGGCUGCCGGGAAUACUGCAAAGCUAGGGAGUGGGAGAAGUAGACGGUACUCGGUAGGAAGUGGUAAAAUGCUUUGAUCUAUCGCUGACCACCUGUGGCGAAGGCGGUCUACUAGAACACGUCCGACGGUGAGGGAUGAAAGCUGGGGGAGCAAACCGGAUUAGAUACCCGGGUAGUCCCAGCUGUAAACUAUGCAAACUCAGUGAUGCAUUGGCUUGUGGCCAAUGCAGUGCUGCAGGGAAGCCGUUAAGUUUGCCGCCUGGGAAGUACGUACGCAAGUAAGAAACUUAAAGGAAUUGGCGGGGGAGCAC
rnacentral:rRNA from 2 species